UUUCGACUCAGAAGAUGAGAAAUCCUUAACAUCUUCAAUCAAAAUGGUGGAUUUGGUAGAUGACACCACAACUGUCACAAUUACCAAAACCAGAAAGAAAAAAGAAGAAUUGUUUUGCAGCAAAGCAAAGACAAAGAUGAACAAGGGUGAUUCCUUGUAAAGUAAAGAUAAAAAUAAACAAGGGUGAUCCCCUGCAAAGCCAAGACAAGAAAAGAAAAAACAAUGAUCAACAG
rnacentral:lncRNA from 1 species